AUUGAACGCUGGCGGCAGGCCUAACACAUGCAAGUCGAACGGUAACAGAAAGCAGCUUGCUGCUUUGCUGACGAGUGGCGGACGGGUGAGUAAUGUCUGGGAAACUGCCUGAUGGAGGGGGAUAACUACUGGAAACGGUAGCUAAUACCGCAUAACGUCGCAAGACCAAAGAGGGGGACCUUCGGGCCUCUUGCCAUCGGCUGUGCCCAGAUGGGAUUAGCUAGUAGGUGGGGUAACGGCUCACCUAGGCGACGAUCCCUAGCUGGUCUGAGAGGAUGACCAGCCACACUGGAACUGAGACACGGUCCAGACUCCUACGGGAGGCAGCAGUGGGGAAUAUUGCACAAUGGGCGCAAGCCUGAUGCAGCCAUGCCGCGUGUAUGAAGAAGGCCUUCGGGUUGUAAAGUACUUUCAGCGGGGAGGAAGGGAGUAAAGUUAAUACCUUUGCUCAUUGACGUUACCCGCAGAAGAAGCACCGGCUAACUCCGUG
rnacentral:rRNA from 1 species